rnacentral:rRNA from 1 species
UACGUAGGGCGCAAGCGUUGUCCGGAUUUAUUGGGCGUAAAGAGCUCGUAGGCGGUUUGUCGCGUCUUCCGUGAAAACUGGGGGCUUAACUUCCAGCUUGCGGUGGAUACGGGCUGACUGGAGUGCGGCAGGGGAGACUGGAAUUCCUGGUGUAGCGGUGAAAUGCGCAGAUAUCAGGAGGAACACCGGUGGCGAAGGCGGUUCUCUGGGCAUUAACUGACGCUGAGGAGCGAAAGCAUGGGGAGCGAACAGG